rnacentral:rRNA from 1 species
UACGUAGGUGGCAAGCGUUGUUCGGAAUUAUUGGGCGUAAAGGGCGCGUAGGCGGUGCGGUAAGUCACCUGUGAAACCUCUAGGCUUAACCUAGAGCCUGCAGGCGAAACUGCCGUGCUGGAGUGUGGGAGAGGUGCGUGGAAUUCCCGGUGUAGCGGUGAAAUGCGUAGAUAUUGGGAGGAACACCAGUGGCGAAGGCGGCUCACUGGACCGGAACUGACGCUGAUGCGCGAAAGCGUGGGGAGCAAACAGG